AGAAAACAGAGGCUCAGGGAUGGGAAGUCACUUGCCUGUGAUCACAUGACAGAUGAGCAAUCAGGAUGGGAUUUAAGCCAGGUCAUACUGUUUCCAAAGGAUUUGGUAAAUCUCCAAACUUACUGCCUUAGUUUGGGUUCUCCAGGAAACAGACUCAGAAAGAGCUUGAGUGUAGGUAGUUUUUGUGGGGGGUGAUCUCAGGAGGCAGGAGUGAAGGAGCUGGGAGAGCAAGGCAAGAAGGUAGGAAACACCAGCAUAAGGGUGCUUGCUGUGGUUUCAGGUCUUAACUCUGCAGGAUCUCUUAGAGACCAGGGCAGUUACUACCACCAGCGUCAGUCCCUGCCUGGUUGAAUGUGCUCGUAAGGGUGUUAAUUCUCUUCCACUUUCAGGAUGUGUCUGAAGAGGGCUGAGUAGACUCCAGAGAAUCUGAAAAAGACUUUGAGUCAAAAAGCAGAAAGAAGCUUAGCAAAUGCAUGAAAUAGGUGCCGUCAGCAUGAGUCUCAUGAACCGGACUCCACAGCUGCAGCUGAGUGUGUAGGUGGCCUGAGGGAUGCGGUGCCGGCCACUGACACCAACAACUCUGUUACACUUAUUCUAGCUCAAGUUCUUUUUCCUCCUUCUUCACCAUGACCUUGUGAGUUAGGAGAUCAGUUUUCAACUUUCUAGCUGGAAAGGUUGAGGCUGUGAAUUGUCAAUGACUUGCCAGAAGGCACACAGUAAACAGUGCCCUUGGGACCUCUGUUUAGAGGAAGAGCUUCACAUUUAGCUUGCUUUCUAUUGUGACUCACUCUGUUCAACUAAGUUAUGAACAAGCCUCGAUGCACAAGGAUGAAAGAAAUCAGAUUUGAGAAAGCCCAGUCUUCACCCAUGGACAGCUGAGAAAGGCAUGAGACAGGAAUAUUAUAAUUCAUCUAUAAGAAAGUGCUCAUCUAAAGAAGAAAAUGCUAGCCAGACUUCCUCUGAGACACAGCCAGGGUAGCCUCUAACAAGAUGGCUUGGAUUUGUUUUGAAAUGUCUUCUCCAGAGAAGGAUUCCCAAGAGGCAUCAUGUAGACUAAACCUUUGGAGCUGCUUGGCACAAUGCCUGCCAUGGUCAGGCCCUGGGAAAUGCUGCAGAGCCCUGCAGGGGAGGUGAGACUCAAGAGAGAGACCCAGCCCCAAGCCCAGGACUCUUAAUUUAUGUUUCUGCUCUGGCCUCAGUGCUGUGAACAAAGAAACUGAUGGGAUUUAUUUAAGGGAGUUGCCUCUCCCCUCCCCUCAACACCCAUCUAUCUUCCGGAAUAGUGGAAAGAGUGCUAGAUUUGGAGAAUCCCAGUUCCUUCAGUUUCUGAAUGUUGACCUUCUUAUCUAGAAAAUGGGGUCAGUAAUUUCUUCCUUCCUGUUGCUGGAUUAUUGGGAAAAAUGUGGUUAAUGUAUAGUCAAUUACGCAAGAUGGUUCAGCCUUUGAGACAAACCAGACGUUUUGGAUUCAAAUCUUGUUUCUGCAACUUUGCAUCCUUGAGAAAGUUUGUUUAACCUCUCUGUGCUCAAUUUCACCUUCUGUAAAGUUGAGAUUAUUUCUUGAAGAAUUAUUAUAGGAGUUAAAUUACGUAAUACACCCAAGCAUUGUAGCAAGACCUGGAAAUAGUGUUAUUAUUACUAGUGCUCCCAGUUUAGAAAUUCUUAUUCCAGCAUUCCUUCCUACAUUCUCUUCUUAAUUCAACCCUGUCUAACUAACAUGCUCUCUUUCCCAUUUCUGCCAAGCAUCGUUUUAUAUUUUAUAUUCUUUCGAUAUUUGAUGCCAUCUGACAUAACGAAUGACAUUUUCCUAGCAUAAUUGUCAUGUAUCUGAGGUCCAGGACCACAUUCACUCAUUCAUUCAUUCAUUUAUUCAUGCAGCAAAUAUUUAUCUACCAUCUACAGUGUCCCAGACCUUGUCCUAGACUCUUGAAUACAUUCAUGACUUCAAGUCAGUCCUGAUCAUUUAAAUCCUAGUGUUCAAGUUCUAACUUGGAAGUCAGGCAAGUAACCAAAUGAUUUCAAAACCAAGUCAUAAGUAGAUAAUAGAGUAAAGAAAAGAACCUUAUGGGAAAUAGAGCUGGAUGGGAUUCACUCUUGCUAUAAGAAUUAGAAAUCCUCCACUGGGUCAUCUAGCCAGGGAUCUGAAUGUACCCAGCAGGCAAAAGAGAGAAAGAGUACCCCAGAUCAUUAGAACAAAAUGUUAAAAAGCAUGAAGGUGUGAACGUGUAUGACCUAUAUAGGAAAGGUGAUAAAGGUGACUCUGGC
rnacentral:lncRNA from 10 species